UGGACAAUGGGCGCAAGCCUGAUCCAGCAAUGCCGCGUGAGUGAAGAAGGCCUUCGGGUUGUAAAGCUCUUUUGUCAGGGAAGAAACGGUGGGAGCUAAUAUCUCUUGCUAAUGACGGUACCUGAAGAAUAAGCACCGGCUAACUACGUGCCAGCAGCCGCGGUAAUACGUAGGGUGCAA
rnacentral:rRNA from 1 species